UCGCCCAUUAAAGUGGUACGCGAGCUGGGUUCAGAACGUCGUGAGACAGUUCGGUCCCUAUCCGUCGCAGGCGUAGGAAAUUUGAGAAGACCUGUCCUUAGUACGAGAGGACCGGGAUGGACGUACCGCUGGUGUACCAGUUGUCCUGCCAAGGGCAUGGCUGGGUAGCUAUGUACGGAAUGGAUAAGCGCUGAAAGCAUCUAAGCGCGAAGCCAACUUCAAGAUAAGAUUUCCCACCGCAAGGGUAAGACCCCAGAAAGACUAUCUGGUUGAUAGGUCGAAGGUGUAAGUG
rnacentral:rRNA from 1 species